CAGCUGUUACUGGUCUGAAGAUGUUCUGGAUAUAAAAGGAUAGCAAGCAGGGGUCUGCAAAAAGACAGGUCCUGAGGGAGGAAAGAGCCCCUUCAGGAGAAGGAGGAUGCCGUUGUGUAAAAGAUGAAAAAAUGCUGCAUGUUGUCUCCAGAGGCAUUCAUUUUUGGAAAGGAAACUGAGAUUCACAUUUGAUGAUGGAAAGAAGCAGGAACAAAAAGCAGAUAAUCCACUCCAAGUAGCAGG